GUGCUCACUUCUGUAGCACAUACACUAAAACUGGAAUGAUACGGAGAUUACUAUGGCCCCUGUGAAGCCAGACACACAGGUUCAGGAAGUGUUCCACGUCUAU
ensembl:snRNA U6 U6 spliceosomal RNA